GGGCGCUUCGCUGAUGGUGUCGGUGAGCGCGUUUCCCGCCUGAGCGCAACUAGCGGCGGGUCGCGGGCACCUCCAGGCUCAAAAGGAAAGAAAACAUCUCCCAGGACCAGAUGUGGAGUAGACGGGAAUUGGAGAGAAGCUGAAGCCCAGGCCCAGCACCAGGCUGGGGGCCCAGGUGCUACGGGGGUCCCAGCCAUUAACAGAGCUUCAUGCAGGAGAGCUUGUUUCAUAUCCGUAUCCCACUUUAUUCCUGCUAAUCUGCUAAUGCAGUAAAUUGGGGGAAAACUGUUACCAGGAUAACCUGUAAUGGGCAAGGAGCCACAAAGAAGAAAACAUUUCAUUUAAUUUUUAAACUUGGUUUGAAAGACCAGCAUGUUUUGGAAAUUUGAUCUUCACUCAUCAUCCCACAUAGACACACUUCUAGAAAGAGAAGAUGUAACACUGAAGGAGUUAAUGGAUGAGGAAGAUGUUUUACAGGAAUGUAAAGCUCAGAACCGCAAACUUAUAGAGUUUCUGUUAAAAGCAGAAUGUCUCGAAGAUUUAGUCUCAUUCAUUAUAGAAGAACCACCUCAAGACAUGGAUGAAAAGAUCAGAUACAAGUAUCCAAAUAUAUCUUGUGAGUUGCUCACUUCCGAUGUCUCCCAGAUGAAUGAUAGACUGGGAGAAGAUGAAUCCUUGCUAAUGAAAUUAUAUAGCUUCCUCCUAAACGAUUCCCCUUUGAAUCCACUACUUGCCAGUUUCUUCAGCAAGGUGCUAAGUAUUCUUAUCAGCAGAAAACCAGAACAGAUUGUGGAUUUCUUAAAGAAGAAGCAUGAUUUUGUAGACCUUAUUAUAAAGCACAUAGGAACUUCUGCUAUCAUGGAUUUGUUGCUCAGGCUCCUGACGUGUAUUGAACCUCCACAGCCCAGGCAAGAUGUACUGAAUUGGUUAAAUGAGGAGAAAAUUAUCCAGAGGCUUGUGGAAAUAGUUCAUCCAUCGCAAGAAGAAGAUCGACAUUCAAAUGCAUCACAAUCACUUUGUGAAAUUGUUCGCCUGAGCAGAGACCAGAUGUUACAAAUUCAGAACAGUACAGAGCCCGACCCCCUGCUUGCCACUCUAGAAAAGCAAGAAAUUAUAGAGCAGCUUCUAUCAAAUAUUUUCCACAAGGAGAAAAAUGAACCAGCCAUAGUCAGUGCAAUCCAGAUAUUGCUGACUUUACUUGAGACACGACGACCAACAUUUGAAGGCCAUAUAGAGAUCUGCCCACCAGGCAUGAGCCAUUCAGCUUGUUCAGUAAACAAGAGUGUUCUAGAAGCCAUCAGAGGAAGACUUGGAUCUUUUCAUGAACUCUUGCUGGAGCCACCCAAGAAAAGUGUGAUGAAGACCACAUGGGGUGUGCUGGAUCCUCCUGUGGGGAAUACCCGGUUGAAUGUCAUUAGGUUGAUAUCCAGCCUGCUUCAAACCAAUACCACCAGUAUAAAUGGGGACCUUAUGGAGCUGAAUAGCAUUGGAGUCAUAUUGAACAUGUUCUUCAAGUAUACAUGGAAUAACUUUUUGCAUACACAAGUGGAAAUUUGUAUUGCACUGAUUCUUGCAAGUCCUUUUGAAAGCACAGAAAAUGCCACAAUUACUGAUCAAGACUCCACUGGUGAUAAUUUGUUAUUAAAACACCUUUUCCAAAAAUGUCAAUUAAUAGAACGAAUACUUGAAGCCUGGGAAAUGAAUGAGAAGAAACAGGCUGAGGGAGGAAGACGGUAUGGUUACAUGGGACACCUAACGAGGAUAGCUAACUGUAUCGUGCACAGCACUGACAAGGGCCCCAACAGUGCAUUAGUGCAGCAGCUUAUCAAAGAUCUUCCCGACGAAGUCAGGGAACGAUGGGAGACGUUCUGCACAAGCUCCUUAGGAGAAACUAACAAGAGGAACACGGUAGAUCUAGUUACAACCUGCCAUAUUCAUUCAUCCAGUGAUGAUGAAAUUGACUUUAAAGAAACGGGUUUCUCACAGGAUUCUUCUUUGCAGCAAGCCUUUUCUGAUUAUCAGAUGCAACAAAUGACGUCCAAUUUUAUUGACCAGUUCGGCUUCAACGAUGAGAAGUUUGCAGAUCAAGAUGACAUUGGCAAUGUUUCUUUUGAUCGAGUAUCAGACAUCAACUUUACUCUCAAUACAAAUGAAAGUGGAAAUAUUGCCUUGUUUGAAGCAUGUUGUAAGGAAAGAAUACAACAGUUUGAUGAUGGUGGCUCUGACGAGGAAGAUAUAUGGGAGGAAAAGCACAUCGCAUUCACACCAGAAUCCCAAAGACGAUCCAGCUCGGGGAGUACAGACAGUGAGGAAAGUACAGACUCUGAAGAAGAAGAUGGAGCAAAGCAAGACUUGUUUGAACCCAGCAGUGCCAACACGGAGGAUAAAAUGGAGGUGGACCUGAGUGAACCACCCAACUGGUCAGCUAACUUUGAUGUCCCAAUGGAAACAACCCACGGUGCUCCGUUGGACUCUGUGGGAUCUGACGUCUGGAGCACAGAGGAGCCGAUGCCAGCUAAAGAGACGGGCUGGGCUUCUUUUUCAGAGUUCACGUCUUCCCUGAGCACAAAAGAUUCUUUAAGGAGUAAUUCUCCAGUGGAAAUGGAAACCAGCACUGAACCCAUGGACCCUCUGACUCCCAGUGCGGCUGCCCUGGCAGUGCAGCCAGAAGUGCCAGGCAGUGUGGCCAUGGAAGCCAGCUCUGACGGAGAGGAGGAUGCAGAAAGUACAGACAAGGUAACUGAGACAGUGAUGAAUGGCGGCAUGAAGGAAACGCUCAGCCUCACUGUAGAUGCCAAGACAGAGACUGCGGUCUUCAAAAGGUUCUUUGACACCUUCACCGAGUCUGCAGUUUUGCUUACGUGCAGUCGUGGACAUACUAUUCCCCCAAAUUCCUCAUUUCUAGGAGUAUUCUGAAACUCUUGUACAUUUCUUUUUCUGUUUUGCACACUGGGCUUCAGAGUGUUGAAAUCCUAUCGUGAGGAAGGGAAACUGUCUACCUCUCAAGAUGCUGCUUGUAAAGACGCGGAGGAGAGCCCCGAGACUGCAGAGGUGAAGUGCGCCGCGCCCCGGCCUCCCAGCAGCAGUCCCGAGCAGAGGACUGGCCAGCCAAGCGCACCAGGUGACACUUCAGUGAAUGGCCCUGUAUGACGGGUGACGUCUGCUGCUGCUGACUGAGGACUGCAGACCGCCACCACUCAGGGGCUCUGGAGGGGUCAGCUGGAGCCCACCAAGCUGUCACUGCUGCACUCACUCUGCAAGGGAUCAGGACCAGCAACCUUUAUAUUCUAGAUUCUAAGACAUUGUACAGAGAAAUUCAGAAGUGUAAAAAUAUUGCACAUUGACAAAUACCAAGAAUUUUUGCGUAUGUUUAUAUUGUAUUGUUCUAAAUAAUGGGUAGCCUGUGAAAUAAGAUCUUGCCACCCAUGUAAUAAUAGUAGUAAUACUAUAGUUAAAAUGGCUGUAAGAAUAGUUUUAUAAAAGUGAAUACACAGAUCUAUUGUAUUUGAAACAUAACUAUUUGACAAUUAUUAGUGUGACCAAAGUAUUAGGCGGUUUUCAUACAUUUUUCACCUUGUACAAAAUUAUGAAUUCAUUUUUCUUCCAGGCUGACAAGGAGUUAUAGAAUGAAAAUGCCCUCUAAGUGUUAUUUUGGUUGUUCUAACUUACAAAAGUGAUUUUGAAUAAGAAAUAUUUGGUGUUCUUUUUAUAACCAGUUUUUGAUUGGUAAUUGUUUUCUGUAUUGUUUAAAACGGAUCAAAAAUGUAAGUCUAUUGGUAGAGAUUAAGUAUUUAUUGCUACAUCAUAGUUGAUAAAUUGAUGUUAUUGUAAAGCCAUAUGUUCUGUUCAAGUCUUGUUUGCUUGAAAUGAUUAUUCCUACAAGUGAAACACUAGACUAUUUGGAGUGUAUAUGGCUUGUGUUUUGGGUUUUUUUGGCUUUUGUUUUUGUUUCGUUUGGUAGUUCAUCUGCCUUUUAACCCAUUCACCAAAAUUUACCUUGUUAACAAGCGUCACCAAUGAACAUUUCAGAGCAAUCUGCAUAUUUAACAGACCUAAAUCCUAUUAGGCAAGUCAGUUGAAAAUGCUCGUGCUGCUAAUGGAAUUAGAGUACGUUCAUUUUACAGGCUAGUAUUUUAAAAGUAGAAAUCAAAAUCUGGCACCGAAGCAUGCUAAUUGUUUACUGUACCUUGUGAGGUUUUCACUCAUAAAUUUAAACCAGUGUAUUUUUUUAGAACUGGUUUAUGUAUAUAUAUAGUGAUUAUGGAUACUAAUUCAAUGUAAUUUAUAAUUUUCUAUGUCAGUACAAAAAUACAUCACAGCCUUCUCAAACAGCUGAAGCAAUAUAUUGUAUAUUGCCAUAUCGUCUGGUGAAAGGGUUAAAUUACUUCACCUCUUGCACUUUUAGAUGCAAAUCAGUUUUUCAUUUCUGUAAUAGAAAAUUAUUCACGUAUUUUUACAUCAUUUGUUUUUCCUGACCAGUAUUUAAAACCAAAAGGAUAUUCUGGAAAAUGGCCAACAAUUUUUUUAGAAAUAAAUAGCAUCCCAAGCAGCGUGCCUAAACAUUACAUUGCAUAUGGAAAUAAAAGAAUCAAACGUCUAAUGCCUUAUUUCUGAUUUCCUUUUUCAUUUUAAGUGGUGUAGAGACUCCAGCACUUCCAGGACAGUGGAGUCAGCAGUAAGCCCUGGGACAGGUGGCAAGGGUGGCUCCCUUGACCUUUGCGCACCUCCUCAGGAACCCUCUUUCCCGGGUGAGCUCCUCUCUUAAGAGACUGUCCUUGGGCCUCCUCUGGAAGCAGCACCCCCAGAAGACAGGGCUCCUCCUGCUUGCCUCAGGGCUGCCUGACUUGAAUGGCAUUGGACCUCGGGGAUUGCUGGUAGAGAAUAUGCUCUGGUCUCACCUGGUGGCGAGUUUUGCCAGCCAUGGCCAGGGUUUGGCUCCACUGGUGGCACAUGUGGCCUCCGUGGUAUGGACCUGGUGGCUUCUCUAUCCCACCGUGGCCUCCGUGGUAUGGACUUGGUGGCUUCUCCAUCCCACUCAAGGUAACAGUGUCUUGCUUCAUCCCACUGACUGCUAGGGAGAGAGCCUCUGGGACUUUUCUUUGGGGCAGCAUUUUGUUUUGUCUUUCGUAGCAGGGAAAGAAUAGGACAAUGGGGAGGACAGUUCUUUUGGAGGUUGGAGGGGCCAAGCCAAGGACAGGAACAAGUGUGCCCUCAUUUUGUUUCUACUUUAAUUUCUGUGUGUCAGCCAUACUGAAUUAUGAGACUAACAGAUACAUGUAUUCAAAAUAACAAAAAUAAAGCCUGAUUCUUUUGUUU